rfam:Pantoea wallisii strain LMG 26277 Contig0002_, whole genome shotgun sequence.
AGGCGAAAUCGCCUGCAAAAAUGCCAACUUUUAGCGCACGGCUCUCAACGAGCCAUUUCCCUGGACCCGAUACAGGAAUCGUAUUGGGUCUUUUUUU